GGGCCCGCCAAGGAAACGCCGAAUAGAUGCGGCUGAACGAACUUCCGUUAAUUGAUCAUUGUACGUGCUUGCACUGAAUGAGAUUUUAACACGAAGUGAGUGGCGGACGGGUGAGUAACACGUGGGUAACCUGCCCAGAAGCAGGGGAUAACACCUGGAAACAGAUGCUAAUACCGUAUAACAGAGAAAACCGCCUGGUUUUCUUUUAAAAGAUGGCUCUGCUAUCACUUCUGGAUGGACCCGCGGCGCAUUAGCUAGUUGGUGAGGUAACGGCUCACCAAGGCGAUGAUGCGUAGCCGACCUGAGAGGGUAAUCGGCCACAUUGGGACUGAGACACGGCCCAGACUCCUACGGGAGGCAGCAGUAGGGAAUCUUCCACAAUGGACGCAAGUCUGAUGGAGCAACGCCGCGUGAGUGAAGAAGGGUUUCGGCUCGUAAAGCUCUGUUGUUAAAGAAGAACGUGGGUGAGAGUAACUGUUCACCCAGUGACGGUAUUUAACCAGAAAGCCACGGCUAACUACGUGCCAGCAGCCGCGGUAAUACGUAGGUGGCAAGCGUUGUCCGGAUUUAUUGGGCGUAAAGCGAGCGCAGGCGGUCUUUUAAGUCUAAUGUGAAAGCUUUCGGCUCAGCCGAAGAAGUGCAUUGGAAACGGGGACACUUGACUGCACAAAAGGACAGUGGAACUCCGUGUGUAGCGGUGAAAUGCGUAGAUCUGUGGAACAACACCAGUGGCGAAGGCGGCUGUCUGGUCUGUAACUGACGCUGAGGCUCGAAAGCAUGGGUUAGCGAACAGGAUUAGAUACCCU
rnacentral:rRNA from 1 species